CCUACGGGCGGCAGCAGUGGGGAAUAUUGGGCAAUGGCCGCAAGUCUGCCCCAGCAACGCCCCGUGAAGGAAAAAGGCUUUCGGGUUGUCACCUCCUUUUACGGGGGAAGAGCGGAAAACGGUACCCCUUGAAUAAGCCACGGCUAACUACGUUCCAGCAGCCGCGGUAUUAGGUAGGUGGCAAGCGUUGUCCGGAUUUACUGGGUGUAAAGGGCGGGCAGCCGGAGAGACAAGUCAGAUGUGAAAUCAACGGGCUCAAACCGUGAACUGCAUGUGAAACUGUUUCCCUGGAGUGUCGGAGAGGUAAUCAGAAUUCCUUGUGUAGCAGUGAAAUGCGUAGAUAUCGAGAGGAACACUCGUGGCGAAGGCGGGUUCCUGGACAUUAACUGACGCUGAGGCACGAAGGCCAGGGGAGCGAAAGGGAUUAGAUACCCUAGUAGUG
rnacentral:rRNA from 1 species